rnacentral:rRNA from 1 species
AGCUCUAAUAGCGUAUAUUAAAGUUGUUGCAGUUAAAGCUCGUAGUCGGAUGUCGGGCUCGGAGAGGCUGUCGGCCUACGGUCGGACGGCAACUCCGGGCCUUUCUGCCUGGGGAUCCUACUCUACUUAAUUGUAGGGUAGUGGGACGCAGGCCGUUUACUUUGAAAAUUAGAGUGUUCAAAGCAGGCCUACGCUUGAAUACAUUAGCAUGGAAUAAUGGAAUAGGACUUUGGUCUUAUUUGUUGGUUUAUGGGACCGAAGUAAUGAUUAACAGGGACAGUUGGGGCCGUUUAUAUUUCGUUGUCAGAGGUGAAAUUCUUGGAUUUACGAAAGAUAAACUUCUGCGAAAGCAUUCGGCAAGGAUGUUUUUCA